GAAAAGAAACUAACAAGGAUUCCCCUAGUAACUGCGAGUGAAGCGGGAAAAGCUCAAAUUUAAAAUCUGGCGGUCUUUGGCCGUCCGAGUUGUAGUCUGGAGAAGUGCUUUCCGCGCUGGACCGUGUAUAAGUCUCUUGGAACAGAGCGUCAUAGAGGGUGAGAAUCCCGUCUUUGACACGGACUACCAGUGCUUUGUGAUGCGCUCUCAAAGAGUCGAGUUGUUUGGGAAUGCAGCUCAAAAUGGGUGGUGAAUUCCAUCUAAAGCUAAAUAUUGGCGAGAGACCGAUAGCGAACAAGUACCGUGAGGGAAAGAUGAAAAGCACUUUGGAAAGAGAGUUAAACAGUACGUGAAAUUGCUGAAAGGGAAACGCUUGAAGUCAGUCGCGUUGUCUGGGACUCAGCCUUGCUUUUGCUUGGUGCACUUUCCGGAUGACGGGCCAGCAUCGAUUUUGACCGUCGGAAAAGGGCUAGGGUAAUGUGGCACCUCCGGGUGUGUUAUAGACUUUAGUCGCAUACGGCGGUCGGGAUCGAGGAACGCAGCGCGCCGUAAGGCAGGGGUUCGCCCACUUUCGCGCUUAGGAUGCUGGCGUAAUGGCUUUAAACGACCCGUCUUGAAACACGGACCAAGGAGUCUAACAUGCCUGCGAGUGUUUGGGUGGAAAACCCGAGCGCGUAAUGAAAGUGAAAGUUGAGACCUCUGUCGUGGAGGGCAUCGACGCCCGGACCUGACGUUCUCUGACGGAUCCGCGGUAGAGCAUGUAUGUUGGGACCCGAAAGAUGGUGAACUAUGCCUGAAUAGGGUGAAGCCAGAGGAAACUCUGGUGGAGGCUCGUAGCGAUUCUGACGUGCAAAUCGAUCGUCAAAUUUGGGUAUAGGGGCGAAAGACUAAUCGAACCAUCUAGUAGCUGGU
rnacentral:rRNA from 1 species